AUUUUCCAUUAUUUUAAUUUGUUUUGUUAAACAGCGAAAAGUAACUUCGAAAACAAAAUUUUAUUCUUUACACAGCGGGUUUAUUUCUUUUUAGGAUCCAUUUGAUGACGUAUCGGAUAAGGUGAAGUCUUCACUUGACAAGAAACAGAAGUUUCAUUUAAACAGCGGAUUACAAAAGCUAAAUGUGGAUCAUUUUGUUCGUGAGUUAUUGGAACUUAUUUUGCUGUACUUGAAGCAUGUUCCUGAAGAUCAGUUGCACUUUCC